CUGUGCUGUGCUGUGUGUUACCGUUCAAGUAGUUGAGCAAGUACUGUCCCGGCACGUCGUAUCACGCAACGGGAUGGGGCCCCGGAAAAGUUUAACGUACAAUAGAAGGCUCAGGUUUAGUUGUGCUAGGUUGUUGAUUUGUUGCGAUCCUUACAAUACUUAAUUUAGCAGAUAUUUCGAUUAAUGGUUUAUCGUUUAAAAUAGGAAAUAUAUUAUCAUUAUUAAAUAGUUGAAAAACAAUUCAUACGAACGGAUCAUUUGGAAUAAUGAUUUAAAGUUUAAAUUAGUUUGCCUUUAUUGUUGCGCUUUAUUUGAAAGUAAUAUGUGACUAAAUCCGAAAACACACACACAGCUGCAUACCAUAUUGCGCCAUCGAGCGAAGUGCAAUACUGGGCACUACAUAUCCGAUCCGGAUGCUUGCUUCAUUAGGCGUCAAAGUGUAAACUGAACAAAUAUGUAUCAUGUAUUCGCGUACAUUUGAGCGCCGCCAUAAUUAGGAUAGUAGCUAACCACUGACCACCGCUGACCGCCGCUGGAAGUCCAAAAUUAUAUUUAUGAACAAGCAAGCAACAAGUGUAAACAACUACAGAGUGGCGUGUGCACAUGUGUGGUGACGCCCUGCAUGAUGCGAUGAUGGAUCGACUUAAAGGUAAGUGGCACGUUUGCAGCGUGUUGGACAUUAUACGAUGUGCCUUGCCCUGAUACCACCCAUGGUUGGCUGAUGUUGGCCAAUUAGCACCACCGACCGUUAGGCCGUUAUAAUAGUCCGCCGCGCGUCAAAGUGAUGUGUUGCGACCUGACUGAGUACUACUACCCAGUGGAGCGUACGAUGGGACCCAUCUCCCUUACCUGUGUAAUUUACCUUCCCAGUGUUUUCAUAAAUGGUUAAUUUGAUUCUGAUUAUGUUUGAAGUUCAAUUUAUCAGUUCGAGCGAACACGCAAUUGCGCGCGGUUUGAUGAUAAAGAUCGUGUAGCGAUUAUGGUUAAGCUGUUGGCCCCUACUGCAUUCCCAACCGGACAUAACUUUGUAAAGAGCACUAUUUUAUCCAUUUUUGAAUGCAGAUUUUCUGACAUUCCGGUUUAUAGAGUGCAAAGAAAGCUGAUUUUAGCAAAUAAGUACAAUUUAAAUACAUACAAUCACGGUCACCCAGAAGACGCUGAACUUGAGCAUGAAACAGCACAAGGUAGAUUGCAAAACAGUAAACUAAAUAUGUACCCAACGAAGAGAGAGGAAUGGGAGGGAGGGAACAACCUUUACUUGCUGGGUAUGAUAGAUGCUCUCUCUCCAUGCGAUGCGCUAGAUCGGCCGGGUGCUCUACUCAUUCAAACGGACAAACUUCAUUACAUCAUCGGCAGCAGCCACCCACCCCACCCAGCGCUCUCUCCCGGACUGUUGUAAAGUCCAUGGUUUUGUGUAAAGGGGAACCCACUAUUGGCUUGCCAUAUGCUUGCCACUGGUGUAGUCGUCGUCAACUAGCAGUGUGAUAUGCGCCUCCAUACAUCACUACCACUCGUUUCUUCUCCGGUGCCUGUCCGCGGACGCUCAAGUUCGCCACGCUUGACGGUGGUCACCAAAACAAACAAUAUAAAUUUAGAUAUUACUUCACUAAUAGGAUGGUGGGGGGAUGCAGCAAAGCAGCAAAUGGCUGUGGAGAGGGUCAAAUUAUGCGAAAGCAGCAACUACAUGGUGAAGGUGGUGAUGGGCGGUCUUUUUUUAGUGGUUCGCCGGACAUCCUUCUGUUGAGGGGGUGUAAUGAGAGAAAAUUGAAGAUUAAUAGUUUUAGCAGAUGACUACACUACACUUGGGAGAGACUUGAUUCAACUGGUUCCAUGGUCCUUAAAUGCGUUUUUGAUUAACACGUUAAAACCUUCAAUGGAAUUGAAAAAUUCGUUUCUAAAAUACAGUUACCUCUCCACAUCACCUCGUGCCAUUCGUGCCUCCCCCAUGCGGCCCAGUGUACCAGGGUGUGUAUUUUCAAUGUCAGCAAUAUGAUGUCAUGCGGAGGUAAAGCUGAUAUCGAAAUACAUGUUCGCAAAGCGGUGGUACGUGUCAUUCGCAAGACAGGCGCGACCAAUAAAAGUGGUAAAUUGACCAAAAGAAACAACAGCAACAACAAAAACUGAGAAGAACCUGUCCCGAUUCUAUUCGGGGCGACAGCAGACAUUUCGACUAGUACAUAGCGAUUCAACAAGGGGUUAAUAAAGUGGCGAUAAGUUCGCAUCAGAAAGAUGAUGAUUGGAAGAUAACAAUCGGUUUUUUGUAGGUCAAGUGACGGCAGCGGCAGUCUUGGGCGUUGUUGGGACACGGGGACGGAACAUAACGCCGUUUGAUAUCGGCCGGUUCGUUUAGAUACGAUAACGAGUACAGUCUUUAUCAAGAAUAUGCAUUUAAAAUUAAACUGCAAUUAUUUUUUCAAUAUAAAGAUUGAAUGCAUUCUGGUUAGCAUUGAAACAAAGCAAAUUAAUGUCCCAUAUCCUUAAGGUGCCUCAACUGCUCAUAAACACCUUGACUCCAGGAUGAGUCAUCCUGGAAAAGGGGUUGGAAAACGUUAUUCCUCACAAAGAAGAAAAAAUAGUAUCCCAGUUGGGUGGUAAGGUGUGUAUGUGUUUGUGCCCCACAACCACCACCUUAAAAUCCACUUCUUGCUUGUCGCGUCUUUUCUCCUUCUUCCGUACUGACCUUUGGCGGCGCACUUUGCAGAAGCAAACAUCGUCGCUUCGUCCUCUUUCAACCACAGUGUUGGUGCGCACUUUCCCUUUUCAUGCGCACUUUCAUCCUUGGCAGGCUAAACGUAAACAAAGGCUCGUCACCAGCACUACAAGCAGUAGGCGACGAAUCAGGACACUAAAAUGGCGAACACAGAGGGAACGCGGUGGAGGCGCAUGACGAGGGCCGUUGCAUGACAUUUAUAUCAUACAUAAAACGGCUUCAGAGAAUGGUCAGCUUCGUUUUCCCGGGGUGAAGGCAGGAGUAAUAAAAAAACGGAAAAUCAAAUCCAACACAGGUGGGCGAAGAAGGACCUUCGUGGGUUGCGUUAGCUUUCCCUAUUAUCCGCUUGAUGUUAGAUUAAAAUUCAUUUAAAUGAGCACCACUCGCGACGGUAUUCCGUUGGACUGGUGAGCUCCUUUCCAUUCGGCAAACCAUUUGAAUUGCAUUUGGGGGGUUUUUUUUCCCCUUGUCGAUUGCGUGUGGUCACCACGUAACACGC